GUGACAUUAUAUCUGUCUCACUACAGCGUCCGCGUCCCACAAUAGACACGAGGUGUUAUGCUGGAGCAAUUUGGAGAACAUUUUUCCUCUCUGAGGCUCUCCCCCUUUUAUUCCAUCAUCUGAGGUGUUUUCCAUCACAGGUCAGAACAGGCUGAUGUGGUAGCGCGCUCAGUGUUUCAGGCGCAGGCGACCAGCUGCAACGCUACACCUCUGAACGCACGCAUGCACGCACAACAAGGAUUUGCAGUUUUAGUCAUAAAACAGAUUCAUGCAUGCUUGAGAGUGUCGUUUGAGAUGAACUCCUUAGAUUAAGUGAUGUAUUUAUGCUGUUUAAAGGCAAAAUCACUAAUACAUCUUAUGCUAUCGUACAAAGUUCUUCUGAUUCACUUCAAGAAUCCUGAAUCAAGUCCAGCUCUGACAAGAGAAGCAUGCAAACGUC